AUUGAACGCUGGCGGCAGGCCUAACACAUGCAAGUCGAGCGGUAGCACAGAGAGCUUGCUCUCGGGUGACGAGCGGCGGACGGGUGAGUAAUGUCUGGGAAACUGCCUGAUGGAGGGGGAUAACUACUGGAAACGGUAGCUAAUACCGCAUAACGUCGCAAGACCAAAGUGGGGGACCUUCGGGCCUCAUGCCAUCAGAUGUGCCCAGAUGGGAUUAGCUAGUAGGUGGGGUAACGGCUCACCUAGGCGACGAUCCCUAGCUGGUCUGAGAGGAUGACCAGCCACACUGGAACUGAGACACGGUCCAGACUCCUACGGGAGGCAGCAGUGGGGAAUAUUGCACAAUGGGCGCAAGCCUGAUGCAGCCAUGCCGCGUGUGUGAAGAAGGCCUUCGGGUUGUAAAGCACUUUCAGCGGGGAGGAAGGCGAUAAGGUUAAUAACCUUGUCGAUUGACGUUACCCGCAGAAGAAGCACCGGCUAACUCCGUGCCAGCAGCCGCGGUAAUACGGAGGGUGCAAGCGUUAAUCGGAAUUACUGGGCGUAAAGCGCACGCAGGCGGUCUGUCAAGUCGGAUGUGAAAUCCCCGGGCUCAACCUGGGAACUGCAUUCGAAACUGGCAGGCUAGAGUCUUGUAGAGGGGGGUAGAAUUCCAGGUGUAGCGGUGAAAUGCGUAGAGAUCUGGAGGAAUACCGGUGGCGAAGGCGGCCCCCUGGACAAAGACUGACGCUCAGGUGCGAAAGCGUGGGGAGCAAACAGGAUUAGAUACCCUGGUAGUCCACGCCGUAAACGAUGUCGAUUUGGAGGUUGUGCCCUUGAGGCGUGGCUUCCGGAGCUAACGCGUUAAAUCGACCGCCUGGGGAGUACGGCCGCAAGGUUAAAACUCAAAUGAAUUGACGGGGGCCCGCACAAGCGGUGGAGCAUGUGGUUUAAUUCGAUGCAACGCGAAGAACCUUACCUGGUCUUGACAUCCACAGAACUUUCCAGAGAUGGAUUGGUGCCUUCGGGAACUGUGAGACAGGUGCUGCAUGGCUGUCGUCAGCUCGUGUUGUGAAAUGUUGGGUUAAGUCCCGCAACGAGCGCAACCCUUAUCCUUUGUUGCCAGCGGUUAGGCCGGGAACUCAAAGGAGACUGCCAGUGAUAAACUGGAGGAAGGUGGGGAUGACGUCAAGUCAUCAUGGCCCUUACGACCAGGGCUACACACGUGCUACAAUGGCAUAUACAAAGAGAAGCGACCUCGCGAGAGCAAGCGGACCUCAUAAAGUAUGUCGUAGUCCGGAUUGGAGUCUGCAACUCGACUCCAUGAAGUCGGAAUCGCUAGUAAUCGUAGAUCAGAAUGCUACGGUGAAUACGUUCCCGGGCCUUGUACACACCGCCCGUCACACCAUGGGAGUGGGUUGCAAAAGAAGUAGGUAGCUUAACCUUCGGGAGGGCGCUUACCACUUUGUGAUUCAUGACUGGGGUGAAG
rnacentral:rRNA from 1 species